rnacentral:misc_RNA from 1 species
GUGAAUCAUCAAAUUUUUGAACGCAAAUUGCGCUUCCUGGCAUCCCGGGGAGUAUGCCUGUUUGAGGGUCAGUAUUAAUAAAAAAUCGUGUGGUUGACAAAUUUUGAGGUGUCCGGAGGUUGUUCGAUCUUAACAUUUUUGGUUAAGAGGCUUAAAAUUGACCUUUUUUGCUCAUUUUUAAACUUACAUAAAUUUUGUUUAUUCGUCUAUUCUUAUUCCCAAAAUCGUAUUAUAUGCGAUCACAUCGU